rnacentral:piRNA from 1 species
GUAUACUGGAUAUAUUUUGAGCAGCGC